rnacentral:rRNA from 1 species
GAUGAACGCUGUCGGCGUGCCUAAUACAUGCAAGUCUAGCGACCUGACUAGAAGCUUGCUUCUCUGUUGUUAGCGGCGGACGGGUGAUUAACACAUGGAUAACCUACCUACAAGACUGGGAUAACUUCGGGAAACCGGCGCUAUUACCGGAUAAUAUUUUGAACCGCUUGGUUCAAAAGUGAUAGACGCUCUUGCUGUCACUUAUAGAUGGAUCCGCGCUGCAUUAGCUAGUUGGUAAGGUAACGGCUUACCAAGGCACCGAUGCAUAGCCGACCUGAGAGGGUGCUAGGCCACACGGGAACUGAGACAAGCUUCAGACUACUGCGGGACGCAGCAGUAGGGAAUCUGCAGCAGUGCGCGAAGGCCUGAAACAAGAACGGCGCAUGAGUGAGGAAGUGCUUCGGAUCGUAAAACUCUCUUAGUAGGGAAGAACAUAUGUCUAAGUGACUGUGCACAUCUUGACGGUACCUAAUCAGAAAGCCACGGAUAACUACUUG